rnacentral:lncRNA from 1 species
AUGCAAUCCUAUACUCCAAAAACUGGAUUUCGAAUGACUGGAAAGAGAAGAGGUUCUCUGCAAUUAGCCUGUCAACCCUCCUCUCAAAGGACACUAACUCCGCAAGAGCAUGGACCUUCGCUGCCGGGACACCUGUGCAACAUCCCACAUCCAGCAGUUCCGGUUAAUGUAACCUGUAAGAAUGUGACAAACAGCAGUUGGAAGGAUGUUCCUAUUUCAUUCCAUACGUCAUUGAACCAGAAUCAUUGGUGAGUGCUAUUGGCAGCUUUUUUCCCUCAAUAAAACAUUACAUGGGCACCUGUGUACA